GAUUCGCUCGGAGAAGUCUUCUGCAGUAAUAGAAACGUCAUGCUGCGACGUCACCUCUCGUCCUCCUGAAUCUUUCAUCUCAUGCCUGAUCCACCUUCAUCUAGAGCUCCACCUCACACUGGGCUCCCCCUAGUUUUUGAAGCUCCACCUCACAAUAGGCUCCCUAUCAGGUAGUAAUAUCCUCUCAUCCUCUUCUUUUCCUUCAGAAUA
rnacentral:lncRNA from 1 species